CUGUCUAUCUAAAUCAAUUUCACCCCUGAGAGAGUAAAUGGAAUUUUUCCCUCUUCUUGAAUUGCCUGAAGAAAUUCAGGCGGUAGUGGUUGAACGUGCGGCCCGUAACUCCAUCCAAGAUCUCUAUGGCCUCAAAGCAUCGUCGAGGUCGAUGAAGGUGUUAGCAGAGCGGCAUGGGGUUUACCAUUUCCUCGAUGUUUUAUCCGUUUCCUGGGGACUCAAUAUGCCUUUUGAGUUGUUGAAAGCUUGCUACGAUGAGGGAAAUCCAAGCACGCUUUAUAUAAAGGGUGUACAGUUUUUCUACUCCUUGGACCUUCACGAAGAAGGGCUUUCUCUCAUGAAGCGUGCAGCAGAUGCUGGAUAUGAGCGUGUUGUGUAUACACACGCAAUGACUCGAGCAAUCUUUGAGGGUGAAGGGAAGUAUUUUGAUGGUAUUCCAUUUGAAUCUGUUGACAGGAUCGGUAAACUAGUGCGCUCUAUGAAAUGGGGUUGGGAUUUGUGGCAUGGUGACUCUUUUCGCGACCAUAGGAUCCUGUUCAUUUGCUUUUUUAUGUCAUCGUUCUACAGAUGCCAAUGUGCAAAUCUUGUGGCACAUUGAUGUCACUAAGGAUGAUAACAUGUGUAACCGCUGUUUCUGGAUCAAAGAGCUCGGCUUGUUCUUCCGUGAUUUUGAACGGAUAAGCCUGUUAAGGGACACAAGGAAGUGGUGAAGAUGUAAUGUAUCAAAACUUAUAUUUUUAUGUUAUUUGCUAUUCCAGUAUGUUGUAUGUCGAAACUAAUAUUCUAUGGCUAAGUUGUUGUUUUCUAAUAUUUGAUUAAAUGAUAUUUAUAGGCUGAGUUAAUUGUUUCGUUGGCUAAGUUAAAUAUAUUCGAAGACUGAGUUAAUGGUUCCUAAGGCAACGUAAAAUCUAUUUCGAGGCUGAGUUAAUUUUUGUAAGGCUAAGUAAAAUCUAUUUAAGGGCUGAGUUAAUUGUUUCCAAGGCUGAGUUAAUUGUUUCUUAGGCUAGGUAAAUGCUAUUUGAAGGCUGAAUUAUUUGUUUUUACAGCUUAGUUAAUUUAAUUUCAUGGUUAUUAAAUGAUUUGAUUAAAACAUAGGAAUGAAUUAAACCAACCUAACAAGAAACUCCAUUAAAGAAAAUUUUAUUGUCUCGAUUGUAUAAAGGUCUCAAUAUUUGUUAGAACCUUGACUUAUUUUCACACGCCUAAAAUUAAAUUUGAUUUAUUAAAAUUCACGUGAAAUCCCAACCGUCGCGAAUCAUGUUUCGACUGAGUUGGCUGAAUUAUAUCUUACUUGCCAAUUAGAGUCGGGGAAAACAUCAAAAAACUCAUGGCAACUGAAUUUGAUCACGCGCAUAAUAAUGGUCUCGAUUUACACUGGUCUGGAUAAAUGAACCGUCUUGCUGAGUUAUUGUUAGUUAUAAUACAUGAGUGCUUGCUGUAUCCCUAUAUGUAAAGACAUACUAAUAAUGAGUCUCGAUAUUAUCAUGGCAGCCAAAAAUUCUCACACGCAUAAUAAUGUUAUUUUCUGAUAUUUGAUUAAAUACUAUUUAAAGGCUGAGUUAAUUGUUUCCAAGGCUGAGUUAUUGAUGCAUAAAAACUGAUUUGUGUUAAUUUAUGUCACGACUGAGUUAUAUGAAUAGGUAGAAAAUAAAACAUGAUGUGUGUUACAUAGUACAUAAAAUCCGGUCUUAAAAAACAUAAAAAUAAAAGAGAAGUUGAUGACAUGAGAUUAAUCAUCCAACAUCUAUUUUUCAUGAAGCUUACACCAGUCAGGGUCGAUGACCUUCACAGCUCCCAACUCUGCUUCGGCUUCACAAUGCUGAGCGGUAAGUGUCUCCAACUCAGCCACGAGGUCAAAUUUGCCUUCGGCCUUGAUAAUGGCAUCAAGCAAUUCCAUGCGCGCAGCAAUAGAAUUUACUUUGCUGGAGGCGUCGUUCCAUUCAGAUUCAGAUUGCCUUUGUUCCUUGGCCAAGCGGAGAAGCGCCCUGUAAUGCUCCGUCGUUUCCAUUUUUCAUUUGUUAUAACCUUCAACAGCAUACGCUCCAUAGACAUCCUCCAUAGGACGUUUCAUCGAUCUUUUCGAUCCUUCCAUUGCCACUUGAUCACUUAAUGAGGGUUUGAAUUUGUGGCAUUGUGCGCUUUGUAUUUAUAGAUAAAAAAUGAUCUAUUGGAGUCGUUUGGAAAGUAUCUCUUUGACUACGAGAUAAUUCAUGUCCUUUGGAAAGCAUCUCUUCGACUACUAGUUAAUUGUUUCCAAGGGCUGAGUUAAUUGUUUCAAAGGCUGAGUUAAUUGUUUCUUAGGCUAGGUAAAUGCUAUUUGAAGGCUGAGUUAAUGUUUCCUAUAGGUAGAUUACAGACCGAUGGUAUAUAUUAAUAUAUAUGAACAAAUGUCGGGUCUUACAGCGAGUUGAAGAAACCAGCGCUCUUUAAAAUGAUCAGGAAUGUCGCAGUAUGUCGGCCAUGCAUGAACCCAUCCUUCUGCAAGAAUCGUCGGGAUGACCAGGGAGAGAUCAGUUAAAAAUUUAAACCAUGUAGGGCUGGUUGUGUCAAGCAAGUCACACGGACCAGGGUAUAGACCAGGGAGGUUUUCACGAUUUGCAGAGCUUAGUAUCGCAAAAACACUGUUCUCUAACCUCUCUGAAUUUCCAGGAACAAUUGGCAUGGCUUUUGAUGGGGAUAGAGAGAUAUUGUUUAGGUUUUUUCUAGAGAGAUAAAGGCGUAAGAAAGGGUAUUAGAGAGGGAACUAUAUAUAGAGAAACAUAGAACGUGAAACGGCGGGAAUUGAAAUUUCUCAAAAUUCAUUUAUCUUAUUUCCGCCAAACGACAACAUUUAACAAACGUGGCAUCCGAGUUAUAUAGCCUAUUACGGCUGAUUUAAUAUUUGGGAUUUAGGGUUUAGGGUUUAGUAUUUAGAGAUUAGGUUUGUUUAUUUAGGGAUUUAUGUUUAGGAUUUGGAAUAACGGUGUGAUAAAUAUAACAAAUAACAUAAAUUUAGUCUUAAAAUGCGUUGUAUAUAGUUUAGGAGAGUUGUAUUAUGAUCACACUCUAUAUCUACAUGUAAGGUUUUAAGUAAGUGCAAGACAACAUAUACCUCAAGAUCAUGAUCGAUUCUAAACUCGUUAAUUCAAUAAAUAAGAGACGUUCGGUUGAUUAUAUAUUCACUUAUUAGGGAAUGUUAUAACAUUUUUAAGUAUAAACAUAUCAAUUAUUUUAAUUCAGGGUAUGGUUUGAGGUAUGGCUGACUUUUAUCUACCUUAACGGCUGCUUUAUGAAGACGAAUCGGCUACCUUAUUAAAUAUUUUCGUAUCUUAGGGUAUGGUUUGAGGUUCGGCUGAGCUAUAUCUACCUUAACAGCUGUUUUAUGAAGACGAAUCGGCUGACUUAUUAAAUAUUUUCCUAUUUUAGGGUAUGGUUUGAGGUUUGGCUGAGCUAUAUCUAACGUAACGGCUGCGUAAUUUAAACAAGGUGGCUGAGUUACGAUAAACAAAUCAUAAUUUUAAGUCAAGUACAAAAUAUGUAGCCAUAAGUCAUACAAAACUCAUCUUCAUUCAUCGCCAAACGACCCUACCAAACUACAACUUCCUUCAUUGAAGACAUCUGCUGCCAUCUUCAUUCUCAGACCUUGAAUAUUUUCAUCCGAUAUCCCAUCAAAAGCUACACCAAGCGCUAGACACUCGACGAACUUCAAUGAAUACACUCCACAGUCGCCUCUCAGGUUGUUUUGUGGAACAAUACGUUUUGUUCUUCGUCUGAAUACAAAUUCUUUCUUGGUAGGGACUCGGAUAUCAUCAGGAAUAAGGGCAUUCAGAAUCGCAGGGAUCAUACCAGUAAGCGGCCUAAAGAAAUUUAGCAUUCUCAGAUCACUUUCGAGUGUUUGCUCUCCAACGAUUGAAUCAUAGCAAUCAACCUUCUCUUUAUGCAGAUCCGCGUGAAAACCCACCCAAUGAUUGCUGCCAUUAUUAAGCACUCCGUACAAGUGAUCUACAUCUGUAAACCACCGCAACUUUGUCUGAAUGUCUGUGGGGAUCAAACCGUUUGCUAACCCCUCGUAACCACUUCCUUUGAAUUUGACCAUUUCCGGUUUGACUUCGAACUUCUUAUAAUCGUGAACCCAUGAUUCAAGGAACCAAGAGUCUAUAAAGGCAACGCGCUUGGACCAGAAUGGGCUGGGAUCUUGUUUGGUCCUUUGAAUGAGGACUCUAAUAUACGCAGCAUUAUGCUGUACAGAUAAUAUAUAACUCAGCUGUACCAUACUUAUAACUUAGCCGUAAAGUAAAUAUAACUCAGCUGCAUACUUACAUUUUGAACCAGCCAUCCAUAUUCUUUGAUGGGCCAAGGUCUUGGAGUGAUGAGGAUUCUGUAGAACUCAAUAUCCUCGUGAGCUUCUCCAUGUGGAAUUUCCCUGAUAAUUUAACACAACUCAGUCUCUGCAAAAUCUUUUUAUUAGCUAAAAUCAACGAAAUGGUGCAAAAGUCCUUAUUCGUGUGGCUUUAGGUGUUGCAAAAGAUUAUCCCUUUUAACCGGAUCAACAGGUCCUAGGGGAUCAUAUAUUGCAGAUGAAGGUUCUAAACAUUUUCUCAUGCACAUCGUUACAUUGUCUCCGAUGUGGGGAAAUGGUACAGAAGGACCAAAUUCCGCACUCAUUUGAGACCCAUUUGGAGAUAAUUGAACAGCUUUCAGCCGAUUCUCCUUUAUUUUUCCACACCUUUUCCUUUCAUCUUCCUCCACAUCAGAUUCCGGCCAUAGUUCGUCUGUUUCCGCCUCAAUUUGCUUAGUCGGAAUGGUUAUUCUUAUUGUACCACUGCGAGUCCGUUUUGAAGCAGGAAUAUCCUUCUUUAAGUCAGCCUCUUCUUGCUUCUUCUUCUUCUUUAAAUCAGCCUCUUCUUGCUUCUUUUUCUUCUUUAACUCAGCCUCUUCUUUCUUCUGCUUUUUCUUUAACUCAGCCUCUUCUUGCUUCUUCUUCCUCUUCAACUCAGCUUCUUCUUGCUUCUGCUUCUUCUUUAACUCAGCUUCAUUCCUCUCCAAAUCAGCCGCUAAGUUAUUUCUUUUCCCUAAGCCCCUGCAACCGCGUCCGAAUGGUGGUUCGUUACCAGGAGAAUCAGAGACCAAAUCAGCAUUUGUUGCAUCGGCAUUACCAAACACCGAAUCCAAGUUCUUUUUCACCCCAGCAGCCUUAUCCCUGACAACCUUCGAAUUCAGCUUUGCUCCCAUACCUUUCGCAUCAGCUUUAGCAAUAUCAUCUGCCAGAUUCUUCUCAGAUUGGCCUUUACCAGGGGUCUUUUGUGGUUGGCUGUCUUCGGACUGUUUAUCAAUAGGGGUCUUAGAUGCAGGUUGACCACUAUUGGAGUCCGGCUGUCGGUUGUCUUCUGAGACCAUCACGUUUUGACCAUCAGGUUGACCACUAUUAGACUCCGGCUGUUGGUUGUCUUCUAAGACCAUCACGUGUUGACCUUCAGGUUGACUACUAUUGGACACCCCCAAAACUCUCAGACGCUCUUCAACUGUAGUUUUCACUGUAUCUCCAAUGGUAUCCAAAAGGCCUCGGGAAAAAGAUCCAAACUUGGUGUCGUAUUCUGUUAAUCUCGAGUCAAAUUUUCGGUCCAACUUCUCGAGAUGAGCAACUAUGUUCAGCAGAACCGCUUCGCUACGACCCUUCUCCUUUGCACUCUCAUUCUCCUCUACAACAGCAGUUUCACCCUCAUUGAUUUUCACCUCCUUCUGUUUCUUACCUUUCUUCUGCUUAUUGAGGAUGGCUCAGCCUCUGACGAAACUCCAGCCUUCGUUUUUUUGUUCUUCUCAUUCGAUUGCACAUAAAAAUCUCUAACAGACCUAUCUGCAUGUAUAUCUUUAAUUAGGUUAUCAAGUUGUGGGUCAUCUGCUUCAUCCUUCCACUGAGGAAACAACUCUUCUAGACCCUCCUUCAUCACCAUUUUCCUCACACGCACCUACAACACAAAAACAUAAAUCAGUCAUUAAAAUUAACAACUCAACCAUAAAAUAAUCCAAUAACUCAUACAUUACAGGAUUCAUAUGUCUGAUUUAAACCUUACCGUUCCAUGAUCAUUCAUCUCCUUAGCUAUUGUAGUAGCAAGACUUGCACGAGUACGACUUCCACCCCAUCGCAAAAGCGGAAUUUCGUCUGGAUUCACUUUUCUGCCAUAAAGCUCUCCGAACACUAUGACAGAUUCAUACGCCCAAACCAAUAACACGUCCUUGAAGCCGCUAAGGGUGUACGACCCUCCUUGUGGAUGUAACAACUUGAUAGAAUCAACAAGAAAUUCAUAGGCAGUCCGACCCCAAGGAUAAGUCAUCAGGGCGUCAUCAUCGAAUAUUCUUUUUGCACUUUCAAAGGGUAUUCUACAAUUAUGAUGCAAGCCAUAAAGUCCAAUGGCUUGAAGAAACAACAGCCCAUACCAUUUCCGCUGAUCAGCACUCCAGAAUGGCUCCGUUAAAGCUUCUAUAAGUUCAACAAACUUGGGUCCGUACCCAAGCGGCACUUUCAACAACUCCCACAACGCUUUGUAAUUCUCUGGAUCAGGUUCAAAACUUUCUUCUGGCAGUGGAUUUGUGUUUAAACCCGUGAUCUCACCAAAUUCUAUUAAGCUAAACCUGAGAGGUUGAUCAACAACGAGAGACCAAAUCUCCUUCUUAUAGACUCGCAGCUGUCUACAAAGUAGAUAAUGUACGGUCUUAACAGACCACACCAAUUUGCUCUCAGCCAGUUUAGCAAUCAAUCCAACAGGAUACGUCUUCAGAUUAUCUCACACAUCUAUUCCAAUUGCUUGUCUAAAUCGAGGGAUCUCAGAAAAAUGGCUAUUCGUAUUAAUGCUUUUGUUUUCAAAAAUAGAAGCCCCUUCAGGGUAAAGUCUUGGAGGGUAAUCCCUUGCUAGAUCUUCGGAAACAUCCAUCUGAUCAAAAAAGACAUAUAUAACAUAUCAAUGAUAAAUCAGAAGAAAGGCAUAAAAUAAACAAGCCACAAAACAUAACUCAGCCAUCAUUACAUAAAUAAAUCAGUCACAAAGAAUACUAAAUCAGUCACAAUUACCUUCUAUAAAUCAGUCGUUAAGGAUCCUAAAUCAGCCGUAACGAAUACUAACUCAAACUCAGACAAAACAUAUAUCUAACUCACAGCAUUAAUUAUACUCACUCAAAUACUCGAAAAACUCAGAGCAAAGCCUCGAAAUAUACCAGAGAAUACGAUUACGGAGAUUUGAGGAGACAACCAAUCUGAAAAAGAAGCUUACGGACACACGAUUUCAGAGAAAACGCUUACGGAGACUAGAGAAGAAGAUUACGGAGAUUAUUUCAGAGAAGCCGCUUUGUCGAGAAGAGUUGUAGUGAACACGAUUUCGAAAACAGUUAGGGUUUAGUGGGAGAACAGUCUCGGAGAAGUUAAUGAUCGUCGUUUGAUUUUUUUUCGUGUUAGGUGACGUGGUAUCAUUACUUCUGAUGUGGAUUUUCAAAUUAAAAUUAAUCACAACUAAAAAAAAUAAUAAAGGGCUUAAACAAUAAUUUACUAGGGUUCUAAAAAAUACUCUAGUCAUUUUCAAAAGAUUUGUAUUAGUCUAGUCAUUACCUCACUUUUUUGUAUUAGUCUAGUCAUUACCUCACUUUUUUGUAUUAGUCUAGUCAUUUUCUCCAAUAGUGUAAAAGAAGAAGGAACUAAAAUGUAAAAACAAAAAAUAUAUGGAGACACAUGUCAUCAAAUCCUCCUGCCACUUGUCAUAAGAAGUGAAAAUGUUAACUUUAUAUAUAUAGAUAACUUAAAAUAUGCUUUAUUAUUAUAUGUGAAAAUCUAAAACAUGCAUCAUUUAUAAAAAAAAAUUGAAUAGUUUUUUACAGGUAGGAAAAAUGAAAAUAUCUUAAAUUAAUUUAUUUUAUAUUUACAUUUAUUUUCUCUGGUUAUGUUGUUAUUGUGAACUUUACGUAGUUGAUCAGUUCUUCUAUAAUAUAUACAACAAAAUUUAGUAUAUUCUUGUUUACGUACAUUUUAAAAUUUUAGGAAGAAUUAGAUCAAUAAAUAGAACUCAAUCAUAAUUAACCAAUACCACAAGAAAAACUGUAUAUAGCUUUUGAUUUAAAUUUUAAAGUCCAAUCCUUACAAUUUGCCUUCAAAUAUCCCACAUAUAUUAAUAUAAAAAUAUUUAAAAAAUUGUAACAUUAAGUUUGUAAUAAUUACAAAAGAUCACUGUUGAGUUGUCAGUUAAUUAAGAUGACAAUUUAUCUUACGUGGCAACGUUACAAUCAAUUGAAAAAAUGCUGGGCUAAAAUUCAAUUACUAGGAAACAUUAUAUUAACCAAAAAUAUAAAAACGUGUAUUUUUUCUCUUAAAUAAAAGCUAUUGAGUUACCUAAUAUGAUCAACAUAUAUAUGGUAGUUAAUGAUUAUUAAUAAUAGUAAAGAUUUGAUAAAAAAAUUCAUCUUUUCUCAUUUUUUAAUUUUAUAUUAUUAAAAGAAAUUAUAUAAUCACAUUAACCAUAUAAUAAAAAAAUUUUGAUUUUUUUCUUAUAUGUUACAAAAAAUGUUAAAAAUCUUUUUGAAAAUUUUGUGAUCAAUGACUUAAUAUUUUUGUUAUAACAAGAUACAAAUGAUGAUACAAUCGUAUUAAUAUGAAUUUUAUUUAAUAGAUAUUGAUAUUAUGAAUGUACUUGUUUCCUAGGUAUGCUACAUUGCCUGUUUAAGUUCCCUCUAUGUUCAGAUAAAGAUCUUGAGUUGUAGGUUUUAUCUGUUUAUCUUUGUGGGGCUUACUGAUGGUGGGGUUAAUCGCAGCACAUCCCUUUGAGCCAAAUCAAUUUGCAGUUGGGCUUACUGAUGGUUGGGUUCAUGUGAUCGAACCACAAGGACCAGAAGGGAAGUGGGGAAUGUCUCUACCGCCAGAAAACGGUGCGGGACCUAGCGUCCCCUCAUAAGUUAUGAGUCAUAACCCGCGUCAGACCAACAGCCGAGCUGAGGUGAGGUUCUGAAUCAGCAAAGCUCCGCACCAUGAUGCAGCCUACCAAGUUAGGUGAAAGAUGAAAGCAAUAGAAGUGUCUUCCGUUAAUUGUAGUGUUUUGCUUGUUCCCGGAUGGAUGUAUAAGGGUUGUAUGUGGUUUCUUUCACUUGUAUGGUCUGACAUGAAUAUAAGGGCUCGUUUGCAUGUACUUCUGGAAAGAAAACUAAAUAAAAUGUAAUGUACCGCCAAAGACAAAUGACCAACGUGUAAAUCUAAUGUAAUACCACCAAAUGUAGCACCAACCUAAAUUAAAUCUAAUGACCAUAGCCUUAAACUAAAUUGAAACUCAUCACUUAAGUGGACAUGUUUUAGAAUUAUGCACCCAUCUAAUUAUAAAUUCUACAUGUGUGUUUCUUCCUUGGCCGUUUUUUGAUGUGAUCCAUGUUUCUCCAGUCAAUAAGGAUUGCAACAAGUGAUUAAACCACCAUGAAAGGGGAUAAUUUGAUAAGAAAGAAAAGAUGGAUGAAAGAGAUGACGACAAUUACCAAAAGUUUCCAUAAUUCUGAUCUUGACUAACCUAAAAAUAAACCAAAUUCGAAAUUAAUGUAAACCGUGUCGAAAUUAAACAUUAAAUUAAGUUUGGUUUACAUAUUCUCAGAUUUCCGUCAACAAAUAUGCUACAAUCCCUUAUAUAUUAAUUGAGAAACAUUACAACAUUGUUUUGUAGCCACGUGUCACCACGAGAAUGAAAUUCAGAAUUCUUAGAGAAAUAAGUUGGUCCAUCUUAACUUAUAUUAUAUUUUAUAUUAAACUAACUAUUAAAUUGAUAAAUAGUGUACAAAAGAAUAUUCUCGCACUUUUCUUAAAUAAAAGCUACGGAAUUGCCUAAUAUAAUUAAUGUAUAUAUGACAUUAAUGAUUAUGAAUAAUAAAUAUUUGAUAAUAAGUUUUGUGUCUUAGCAUUUUUUUGUUUAAUUUUAUAUUAUUAAAAGAUAUUAAACAACAACAGUAACCAUAUAAUAAAAAAUUAAUUUUUUUCUUUCUUAUACGUUACAUUUUAAAUUUUUUAAAUGACUAUAAAUUAUUAAAAACAUUAAAUGUCUUACACUAAAAUUUUGUGAUCAGUGGUUUAACGUUUUUUGGUAAUAACAAGAUACAAAUUAUAAUAUAAAUCGUAUGAAUAUGAAGUCUCAUUUACUAGAUAUUCAUAUUAUAUAUUUAUAUAGUUUGAAAUUAAACUAUAUAACAUAGAAAAAUACUUAAAUAUGAUAAUUUCUAAAUUUGUAUUGAAAAAAUGUUGAAACUUUAAUAUUUUAAUUUUUAAAUUUGCAUUAAGAAAUUGCACAUUAAAAAUUUUGUGUUUAUCAUAUGAAUAUGAAUUCUCAAUAAUAAAUAUUUAUAUUGAAAUAUACUAUAUAUCUAUGUCCAUGUCAUUGAAAUUUAGUUACAUACCAUAUAAAAUAAAUAAAAUGAUUAUUUUGAUUUAUUUACUAAAACAAUAUUGUAAAUAAACAAGAUGUAAUAUUUUGAUUUAUGUCUUUACUCUAAUUUAAUUAUAUACAUAAUACGUAAAUGAAUACAAAUAAUAAUAAUACAUAAAAAUUAGUUAUAUAUAUAACAUUUAUCCCGCGCAAUUGCGCGAAUCUUAAGCUAGUAUAAAUUAAAUAGUAUGCCACCACUUAAAAUAAAAAGUCUACAAAAAAAAUUUAAGUCAAAUAUAUAAUUCUGCCAUAAAAAAUAAGUCGAACAUAAGAAAAUAAAUUGACCACAAAAAUCUACCAUUUAUAACAAAUCUGCUACCUUAUUCGGCAUACAUAUCCUUAGAAAUCGGUUUUCUAUUCAAAUCAAACAAUUAAAUCUUUCGUGGAAAUAAAUCUUCUAAGAAAGUUUAACACCAUUUUAACAGUAGAUUUAUUCUUUAUACAAAUUUUAUAAACAAACUUAUUACUCGAUAGAUUUUUUUUUGAAAAUAAUUCUGCCAACGAUUAAAUUGUAAGGGCACUUUGGUAAUAUAUAUUUUUGUUAUAACUAUGAGCAAAGACAAUUUCGACAAAAAAAAUAUUCUAAUACUUUUUUAAAAAUAUUAGUCAUUCUAGUAAUAUCACAAUUAAUUUAUGUCUAGUAAAUUUUCCUAUUUUUGCAGUAUAAAAACAUUGAGAUGAAUUUUUAUAUAUAAAAAGUGUAGUGAAGGUCCAAAAGUGAUAAAUUUUGAUUUUCUUCUAAAGGGACAAAACUAUUAGUUUAGGUGUUAAUUUUCCCUAAAAUAAAAAAACAAUCAACCGUAGUCUCUUGGUCUCGUUGUUGCAUAGUGUAUCCCACUGAUAUCUCACCGCGUCUGCUGACUCUGCUCUCUCUCUCUCUUUUUCUCUUUUUUUUCUCUCAGUCAAACUCUCCAUCGCUCACACUAUCUCUAUCUCUCCUUGGACUUCAUUUUCAUCUCUAACUCGUCGAAGAGCAUCAUAGCCAGGUUCACCUUUCUCCCAUGUCAGAGUACUCUCCUUCCGAUUCAUAUUUUAUUCUGGAAAUUCACUCUCUUUUGGUUUCUUUUCCGUUCCUUUCUUUAUGUAUAACUGUUUAGACGACACUCAAUUAUAUAUCUACUGCCAUGUCAUAAGUUUCUCGAACAGUUAAACCCAAAAAAAUGUUAUAAGUUUCUAAUGUUAGAGAGAUAACCAGUCAAGAAACUUAUAUAAAGAGUCAACUGAAUAUUCAAGUCAUUAAACUAUCUGAUGAUUUUUUUAUUGCGUUUUAUCGGUGUUAAGACCAAAAGGAUCAUUUAAUAAUCACUUGCAAAUCACUAACACUAUAUGAUGGUGGAAAAUAACAUAGAUGACUCGAUAAUGGCAUAGUUGCAUCUACAACAUGUUAAUAUGUAAUCAUGUACAAUACAGAUUUCGACCAGGACCACCAUAAAAGAAAUAAUCCCCCCAGUCAGUUUCAUAGGCAUAUCUUAUAUUGUAACAACUCUCUUGGGUAAUGAAAUAUUCAGGAAUAUGAUCAUGAAUUGGUUUCCAUGUAUUACAUUCAUCAUAUAUCUUAAGUUUUCUAAAAUAACUAGCUCUUUCAUAUCCUUCCGAUGCGAAACCCCCACUUCCCAUGUUUGUCAUUGUAUGUUGUAAAUUAACUCUAUAAUUUGUUAUUUCGCCUCCCCAUGUAAUUUCGGUUGCCCCAUUUCGUAGAUGAUUGAACAAUAUGGAAGGCCAAUAUCCGAUAAAUACAUGGUGAUUAAGUUUCAACCACCAGUUCCCUGUCCGGGGAUCCUAUGAUAAAAAAAAAAGAAAUUAGUUCUCAGCUUUGAAAUAUAUCUGUAAGUAUAAUUGUUGUAGUUAUAUUCUGAAAGAAUUUUGUAUUAUAUUUGCCUUCCAUAUAGUUGUCGGAAUCUCAUAUUGCUGACCACCUAAGGUAGAAACAUGACCAAUAGGUUCUCCUAAGACAUAUGCUUGAUUGACAGGAACAAAGCCUGGACAAUCAAGAUUGUAGCAGCCUGAACGGUACCCAUCUGCCUAUUUCCAUGUUAGAUAACAUACAUAAAGAACAAUAACCAUAUCUAUAAGUAUAUAUUCCAACAAAAUAUAGCCAAAAUGAAAUAAUAUUAUCAACUUACAGUCCAGUAAACAAAGAAUCUAGCGUUGUCAUCACCAUAACGUCCUGGAUAGACCUAAUUAGAAAUAACGGUUAGUGAAAGACUACAAAGAGAAUACUAUAAUAUAUUUAUAAAUAUGGAACUGAAAUAAGAAGCUAAGACCUGCCAACCAAAUUCAAUGGUGUUAAGGUUAGAAGGAGGACCCGCCACAAGCCACAUUUGUGCUAGGCUAAAUUCUCUUGGCAUUUGCACAUAAGGCUUCCACACAUUUAUAACUGCUUCAGCUCCACGAAAAAUUCCAUUUACGCGGAGGGUGGCAUACUAUAUAUGUUCAUACACAUAUAUGAAUUAUAAAAUACAAAUUUGUAGACAUGUACGACUAAAGAGAAAGCAAUGGUCUUCAAAUGGUUAUUGAAUCAUAUAAAGGAAUGCACCUCAUGGAUUUCAUUAGUCGAAUUGGCUGGUUUUCUUAAAGGAAUGUUGUUGGGAUAUUUUUUGCCGUAGCUUUCUAUUGAUUCCGCUCGUAAAAUAUCUUCUCUUGUCGUUCUUCUGAUUGGAAUAGUAUUUUGGGGACAUUUUCCAUUGAUUGUCCAGAGUUGAGUAACUAUACUCUCGUCGUCUAUAUUUAAAGUAUCAUUGUUCCAUUUAUCGUGGUCACCACUUGGUUUCAUCUAAAACAUAACAUUAAUAUUUAUAUAUAAACAGAGGAAAAUUAAACCAUAUCUUAGUUCUACUAAUCCGGGUUUGACAGUUUGACAUGGGUGCUUAUGUAUCACAACUAUUUGUAAUGCUUUUGGAAUUAGAAAAUUAUAUACAAAAUUAUCAAAAUCUUAUAUUGAACAUAAUAUAUAUGUUCAUAACAAGAAAAAGUGAAACUUAAAAACCGGAAAAAAAUCCAGACCUGAAUAGUGUGGUUUUUAAAUAAAGGAUGAUCAUAAAUAGGAUGAUUCUUCAUAUGGACACAAUCUAUUAUACCUCCGUAUGGACUCUGCAUAUAUUAAAAGACGUACGUGUGUAAGAAUUAAACGCAAAUGAAAUUGGUGUAAUUAGGAGUAAUUUUCUCUAUAGGACUAAAAUUAAUCAACCUUGAUGGAUUUAACAGCAGGUUUGUUGAGUUUCUUUAAAAGUAGAUCUAUUUUAGCAUCAUGAGUAUCUGAAAACUCUCCAUUGAUGACAAUUGCUGGUAUGAUUAGAAUGCCGGGCACAAAAGUCACUACCAUUUGAUUGAUCAUGACAAUUCUAUUUUGGACUGCUACUAGGUCUUCAGGUUUAUAUACUUAACUUAGAUGAGAUGAUUGUGUAUAGAACAUCUUUAUACUUUUGGUGUUUAAUAUCAAUCCACAUAUAACAUAAAAAAAGAAGAAAGUAACAACUCAAUAUCUCUUAUAAUUUAAUUGUGUCUUAUUGCCCUUAGCUUAAUUCACUUUUCCAGGAUUGUCUUUUACCUAGUUUCUCUCCCAUCUUUUAAUUAAAAGUAGACAAGAUCCAAUUGAUCAUAUAGAUAAUUCCUUGAAAUAUGUUACUUCAUUUCGGGCAUAUACACAUGCUAUUAAUGUACUCAUAUGGUUUACUACAGAAGUGGGAAAAUAAAAAUAUGUUAAAUUAAUUUAUUUUCUGUAUACUUUCUCCGAUUCCUUGCUAGUGUGGAUUUUACUCGGGCCUAACUGGUGUAACCCUAACGGUUGCAGACGUAGUUACGGGCGUUUGUGAAUGUGGAUAGUUGCAGUUUUAAACGUUAUUAAACGAUCUGUUCGACUGGUACAAUGGUUAGAAAUUGUUGCGUUUGCGGAAUAAUUAUGACUUGUUACUAUCAAAUGCAGCAAUAGUUAAAUAAUAAAUUAACAAUAUUCAUAUUUUUAUAUAAUUAUAAAAAUUUUUAAAAUCAUAUUAUUAUAACAAAUAUAAAAUUUCUAUAUUUAAAUUAUAUUUUUAAAUUUNNNNNNNNNNNNNNNNNNNNNNNNNNNNNNNNNNNNNNNNNNNNNNNNNNNNNNNNNNNNNNNNNNNNNNNNNNNNNNNNNNNNNNNNNNNNNNNNNNNNNNNNNNNNNNNNNNNNNNNNNNNNNNNNNNNNNNNNNNNNNNNNNNNNNNNNNNNNNNNNNNNNNNNNNNNNNNNNNNNNNNNNNNNNNNNNNNNNNNNNNNNNNNNNNNNNNNNNNNNNNNNNNNNNNNNNNNNNNNNNNNNNNNNNNNNNNNNNNNNNNNNNNNNNNNNNNNNNNNNNNNNNNNNNNNNNNNNNNNNNNNNNNNNNNNNNNNNNNNNNNNNNNNNNNNNNNNNNNNNNNNNNNNNNNNNNNNNNNNNNNNNNNNNNNNNNNNNNNNNNNNNNNNNNNNNNNNNNNNNNNNNNNNNNNNNNNNNNNNNNNNNNNNNNNNNNNNNNNNNNNNNNNNNNNNNNNNNNNNNNNNNNNNNNNNNNNNNNNNNNNNNNNNNNNNNNNNNNNNNNNNNNNNNNNNNNNNNNNNNNNNNNNNNNNNNNNNNNNNNNNNNNNNNNNNNNNNNNNNNNNNNNNNNNNNNNNNNNNNNNNNNNNNNNNNNNNNNNNNNNNNNNNNNNNNNNNNNNNNNNNNNNNNNNNNNNNNNNNNNNNNNNNNNNNNNNNNNNNNNNNNNNNNNNNNNNNNNNNNNNNNNNNNNNNNNNNNNNNNNNNNNNNNNNNNNNNNNNNNNNNNNNNNNNNNNNNNNNNNNNNNNNNNNNNNNNNNNNNNNNNNNNNNNNNNNNNNNNNNNNNNNNNNNNNNNNNNNNNNNNNNNNNNNNNNNNNNNNNNNNNNNNNNNNNNNNNNNNNNNNNNNNNNNNNNNNNNNNNNNNNNNNNNNNNNNNNNNNNNNNNNNNNNNNNNNNNNNNNNNNNNNNNNNNNNNNNNNNNNNNNNNNNNNNNNNNNNNNNNNNNNNNNNNNNNNNNNNNNNNNNNNNNNNNNNNNNNNNNNNNNNAAUUUUUUUUUACCCUAAAACGAGUCUAAACUUGGAAACCUCAUAACUUUUGAACCGUGAGGAACUACGUCGCCCAUAGCACCAUUUUGGAAAGCCCCAGAAACCAUAAUGGGCGGUGAAUAGGGGGCGCAAUUUUUUGGGCUCAAAUUCAGCUUUUUUGACCCUCAAACGGGCUGCGGAAAGUUAUGGCAUGUAAAAAAGAUCGAAAGCGGAUUCUCAAUGUGUUUUUAAUGCUUUCUUAACACCGUUAACCUCGAUGCACUUUUUCGCUCGAAACAAAACGGCAAGAAAAUCAUGUGCGCCCCACGGUGCAGAAACAAUCAUCAAACAAUAAACUUAAAACAAAUAAAACAUUCUACGAAAACAAUAAACUUAAAAGUAAAUAACAGUCCCGUGUGAAAGGGAUCAUCCCGUGGGUCAAAAAGAAUAUACAACAUUUAUGUUUACAACAUAUAAGUUUUAAUAUUUUCAUACAUAUUAAAAUCUAUUUGAUAUUAGUUACUUAUUCAUAAGUUUUAUAAUUAAAACGAUAAUUACAGUGAGAGUUACGAUGGUUGCAGUUCGGAGAAGGAAGAAGAGGACAAUGAGAUAGAUUGCUCUAGUAUUGUGGAAGGAGAAAAUCAGAACGUAGGCGGAGAAGAUGAAACAGGCAAAGAAAACGAAGAAGACGAUGAAUUUGAUAGCCGAUUUGAUAUGUUCGACGACUCGGACGGUGCGUCAUCUGAAGAUGAUAACUUCAGCUCAUACGGUGAGUUUCCUUUAGAAGACGAAGAGUCACCAACGAUACCUCCCAAGAAGAUAUAUCAGAACUUCUCGAUGAGCGGGUAUAAAGAGAGUGAGGAGGUUCUUCUAAGGUUGGAGAUGUCGUCGUUAAAUCUUCCGGUAGGGCAACGAUACGAGAGUAAAGCCGAUUUGGAGAGACGACUGAAACUUCUUACAGUGAAGGAUCGAUUUGAUUAUGAUGUAGACAUAUCAACCCGAACAUUAUUCAUUGUUAAGUGUUGGGUUGAUGGAUGUAUCUGGAGGGUUCGUGCUUCUACCAAAGGGGAAUCCCCGGCGUUCUAUGUUUGUAUUUACGAAUCGAAUCAUACAUGUUCUACAACUGAGCGUUCUAAUCGAUGUCGAAAUGCAACACCAGAUAUUUUAGGAGAGUUGUACAAGAACUUUCUCGGCGACGUUGGUCCGGCCGUUCGCCCUACGAGUGUUGGAAUAGCUAUCACUAAGCAGUUUGGUGUAAAGGUAAUUACUUUGGUGUAACUGAGUUAUGUUUACGAAACAGCUGAGUAAUAUGUGUUUCGUAGUGGCUAAUAUAUUUACACAAUGCGGCCGAGUUAUAUUAAAAUAGUGUUGAAUUAGUUUUACGUUGUGACUGACUUAAUUGUAUGAUGUGGCUGAGUUAUGUGUAUCGUUUUUCAUGUGAACAGAUGAAAUAUUGGAAAUCUUACCGGACGCUGAAAUUUGCAAGGGAAAUCGUUCAGGGAACACCUGAGAGUGGGUUUGAACGCUUGCAUUCUUACUUAUACAUGAUAAUAAAGGAAAAUCCGAGUACAGUUGCGCGUCUUCAAAUCGAUGAGAAUGGAAAAUUCAUGUAUGUGUUUCUUGCGUUUGGUGCGAGCGUAAAUGGGUUUCCUUUCAUGCGCAAAGUUGUGGUUGUCGACGGUACGUUUCUUAAUGGUAGAUACAAAGGGACGCUUCUCACAGCACUAGCUCAGGAUGGUAACUUUCAGAUUUUUCCAAUAGCCUUCGCAGUGGUUGACACUGAAAAUGAUGAUUCCUGGCAUUGGUUUUUUACGCAACUAAAACUUUUGAUUCCUGACGACGAGGGUCUUGCGAUAAUCUCGGAUAGGCAUAACUCGCUUGGGAAAGCAAUUACAAAUGUGUAUCCGCUUGCUUCUCGUGGAAUUUGCACGUACCAUCUAUAUAAGAAUAUACUGGGACGGUACAAAGGAAAAGAUGCAUUUCGUCUGGUGAAGAAAGCGGCGAGAUGUUUUAGGAUGUCUGACUUUACUCAGAUUUUCGAGGAGAUUGAAGCGAUUAAUCCAGCACUCCACGGCUACCUCCAAAGGGCUGAUGUCCGACUGUGGACGCCUGUUCAUUUCCCGGGCGAGAGGUACAAUUUGAUGACUACGAACAUAGCGGAAUCAAUGAACAGAGCAUUGUCGAAUGCUAGAGGUCUUAACAUUGUUCGGAUAUUAGAAUCGAUACGAGUUAUGAUGACCAGAUGGUUUGCUGAACGAAGAGAGGAUGCCAGAUCACAGCGAACCACGCUUACUCGUGGUGUGGAGAAACUACUACAUGUAAGUAAGCCUUUAAAAAAAUUAGUCAGCCUUUAAAUUCAUAAGUCAGUCUUUACAGCUCUUAUGUCAGCCCUUAAGAUGUACUAAGUCAGUCGUUUCACAUUAAUUAUAUAUUUUUUAAUAGGGUCGUGUAACUGCCGCCAGAGAUUUGGCGGUACAGAGGAUUGAUGAUCAUCACACUGAAGUUAAAUAUGGAUCUUCCGGCGAGUCUUUGCAUGUUGUUAAUUUGGUAGAGCGAAAGUGCACAUGUCGCCGUUUCGAACUCGAGAAAUUACCAUGUGUACACGCAAUCGCAGCGGCGGAGUACAUGAAUGUUUCUCGUAUAUCCCUGUGCAGUCCUUACUAUACCAGAAAUUAUUUGGUUAGCGCAUACGCUGAAUCGGUCAUGCCGGUUGAUUCAGCGCAACCUGUUCCAGAACUCGUGGCUAACCAACGCUGCUUGCCCCCGACUGUACGUCAACCACCAGGCAGACCGAAGAAAAAUAGGAUGAAAUCUGCUUUAGAAGUUGCACUAUCAAACAAACGUCCUAGGAAAGAGCACACAUGUUCUCGAUGUAGACAGAGUGGUCAUAAUGCGAAAACUUGUCCGAUGUAAGCAAGUGUUGUAGGGAUUUUCAUGUUUUUGUAUUACGGCUUAGUUUAUGGUUUAAAUGUUUUUGUAUUACGGCUGAUUUGUUGAUUUUCAUGUUUUUAUUACGUCUGGGUUGUUGUAGGGAUUAUCAUGUUUUUGUAUUACGGCUUAGUUUAUGGUUUUAAUGUUUUUGUAUUACGGCUGAUUUGUUGAUUUUCAUGUUUUUAUUACGUCUGGGUUGUUGAUUUUAAAAGUUAAUACUUAAGGCCGGGCUGUUAUUUUUCAUGUCCUUUGGAAAGCAUCUCAAUGACUCUGAUAUGCGUAACGGCUGGGUUAGUGUUAACAUGGGCUGAGUUUUUGUUUACUAAGGCUGAGUUACAUUUUUAACGGCUGAGUUAUUUUGAAUUAGUAGUAUGAAAUAGGAUGAAAUCUGCUUUAGAAGUUGAUAGUGCAACUUGUAAAGCAGAUUUCAUCCUAUUUUUCUUAUAUCAUAAUGCGAAAACUUGUCCGAUGUAAGCAAGUGUUGUAGGGAUUUUCAUGUUUUUGUAUUACGGCUUAGUUUAUGGUUUUGAUGUUUUUGUAUUACGGCUGAUUUGUUGAUUUUCAUGUUUAUUCUUUAAAAAUUCCCGCCAAAAAAAAGAAAGGUCGUCAGACGACUGAGUUUCACACUGCCAAUAAAUAAGACUUUCAACUCUAUAUUUUUACACAUUUUCUCUGUCUAUCUAAAUCAAUUUCACCCCUGAGAGAGUAAAUGGAAUUUUUUCCUCUUCUUGAAUUGCCUGAAGAAAUUCAGGCGGUAGUGGUUGAACGUGCGGCCCAUAACUCCAUCCAAGAUCUCUAUGGCCUCAAAGCAUCGUCGAGGUCGAUGAAGGUGUUAGCAGAGCGGCGUGCGGUUUACCAUUUCCUCGAUGUUUUAUCCGUUCCCUGGGGACUCAAUAUGCCUUCUGAGUUGUUGAAAGCUUGCUACGAUGAGGGAAAUCCAAGCACGCUUUAUAUAAAAGGUGUACAGUUUUUCUACUCCUUGGACCUUCACGAAGAAGGGCUUUCUCUCAUGAAGCGUGCAGCAGAUGCUGGAUAUGAGCGUGCUGUGUAUACACACGCAAUGACUCGAGCAAUCUUUGAGGGUGGAGGGAAGCAUUUUGAUGGUAUUCCAUUUGAAUCUGUUGACAUGAUCGGUAAACUAGUGCGCUCUGUUAAAUGGGGUUGGGGUUUGUGGCAUGGUGACUAUUUUCGCGACCAUAAGGUCAUGUUCAUUUGCUUUUUUAUGUCAUCGUUCUACAGAUGCCAAUGUGCAAAUCUUGUGCAGCGACAAUGUCACUGCUUGUGGCACAUUGAUGUCACUAAGGAUGAUAACAUGUGUAACCGCUGUUUCUGGAUCAAAGAGCUCGGCUUGUUCUUACGUGAUUUUGAACCGAUAAGCCUGUUAAGGGACACAAGGAAGUGGUGAAGAUGUAAUGUAUCGAAACUUAUC
rnacentral:lncRNA from 1 species